rnacentral:rRNA from 1 species
ACCAAACCCUAUCAAACUCCGAAUACCUUAUAUGUAAUCACAGCAGUCAGGCGGCGAGUGAUAAAAUCCGUCGUCAAGAGGGAAACAACCCAGACUACCAGCUAAGGUCCCUAAAUCUUACUUAAGUGGAAAACGAUGUGAAGUUACUUAAACAACCAGGAGGUUGGCUUAGAAGCAGCCAUCCUUUAAAGAAAGCGUAAUAGCUCACUGGUCUAGUGAUUUUGCGCGGAAAAUAUAACGGGGCUAAAGUAAGUACCGAAGCUGUAGACUUAGUUUACUAAGUGGUAGGAGAGCGUUCUAUUUGCGUCGAAGGUAUACCGGUAAGGAGUGCUGGAGCGAAUAGAAGUGAGCAUGCAGGCAUGAGUAGCGAUAAUUAAUGUGAGAAUCAUUAACGCCGUAAACCCAAGGUUUCCUACGCGAUGCUCGUCAUCGUAGGGUUAGUCGGGUCCUAAGUCGAGUCCGAAAGGGGUAGACGAUGGCAAAUUGGUUAAUAUUCCAAUACCAACAUUAGUGUGCGAUGGAAGGACGCUUAGGGCUAAGGGGGCUAGCGGAUGGAAGUGCUAGUCUAAGGUCGUAGGAGGUUAUACAGGCAAAUCCGUAUAACAAUACUCCGAGAACUGAAAGGCUUUUUGAAGUCUUCGGAUGGAUAGAAGAACCCCUGAUGCCGUCGAGCCAAGAAAAGUUUCUAAGUUUAGCUAAUGUUGCCCGUACCGUAAACCGACACAGGUGGGUGGGAUGAGUAUUCUAAGGCGCGUGGAAGAACUCUCUUUAAGGAACUCUGCAAAAUAGCACCGUAUCUUCGGUAUAAGGUGUGGUUAGCUUUGUAUUAGGAUUUACUCCGAAAGCAAGGAAACUUACAACAAAGAGUCCCUCCCGACUGUUUACCAAAAACACAGCACUCUGCUAACUCGUAAGAGGAUGUAUAGGGUGUGACGCCUGCCCGGUGCUCGAAGGUUAAUUGAUGGGGUUAGCAUUAGCGAAGCUCUUGAUCGAAGCCCGAGUAAACGGCGGCCGUAACUAUAACGGUCCUAAGGUAGCGAAAUUCCUUGUCGGUUAAAUACCGACCUGCAUGAAUGGCGUAACGAGAUGGGAGCUGUCUCAAAGAGGGAUCCAGUGAAAUUGUAGUGGAGGUGAAAAUUCCUCCUACCCGCGGCAAGACGGAAAGACCCCGUGGACCUUUACUACAGCUUGACACUGCUACUUGGAUAAGAAUGUGCAGGAUAGGUGGGAGGCUUUGAGUAUAUGACGCCAGUUGUAUAUGAGCCAUUGUUGAGAUACCACUCUUUCUUAUUUGGGUAGCUAACCAGCUUGAGUUAUCCUCAAGUGGGACAAUGUCUGGUGGGUAGUUUGACUGGGGCGGUCGCCUCCCAAAUAAUAACGGAGGCUUACAAAGGUUGGCUCAGAACGGUUGGAAAUCGUUCGUAGAGUAUAAAGGUAUAAGCCAGCUUAACUGCAAGACAUACAAGUCAAGCAGAGACGAAAGUCGGUCUUAGUGAUCCGGUGGUUCUGUGUGGAAGGGCCAUCGCUCAAAGGAUAAAAGGUACCCCGGGGAUAACAGGCUGAUCUCCCCCAAGAGCUCACAUCGACGGGGAGGUUUGGCACCUCGAUGUCGGCUCAUCGCAUCCUGGGGCUGGAGCAGGUCCCAAGGGUAUGGCUGUUCGCCAUUUAAAGCGGUACGCGAGCUGGGUUCAGAACGUCGUGAGACAGUUCGGUCCCUAUCUGCCGUGGGCGUAAGAAGAUUGAAGAGAUUUGACCCUAGUACGAGAGGACCGGGUUGAACAAACCACUGGUGUAGCUGUUGUUCUGCCAAGAGCAUCGCAGCGUAGCUAAGUUUGGAAAGGAUAAACGCUGAAAGCAUCUAAGCGUGAAGCCAACUCUAAGAUGAAUCUUCUCUAAGCUCUCUAGAAGACUACUAGUUUGAUAGGCUGGGUGUGUAAUGGAUGAAAGUCCUUUAGCUGACCAGUACUAAUAGAGCGUUUGGCUUAUCUUUAAUAAAGCAU